rnacentral:rRNA from 1 species
UACGGAGGGGGCUAGCGUUGUUCGGAAUUACUGGGCGUAAAGCGCGCGUAGGCGGCUUUGUAAGUUAGAGGUGAAAGCCCGGGGCUCAACUCCGGAAUUGCCUUUAAGACUGCAUCGCUAGAAUUGUGGAGAGGUAAGUGGAAUUCCGAGUGUAGAGGUGAAAUUCGUAGAUAUUCGGAAGAACACCAGUGGCGAAGGCGACUUACUGGACACAAAUUGACGCUGAGGUGCGAAAGCGUGGGGAGCAAACAGG